UCAAACAGGUUUGACCCUCUGCAUUCUACCCAGACCUAAUGCAACUCGAGGACCUUUGGCCCCGCCCGACCCUGAAUGACGGGGCUCAGGCCACGCCCAUCAGCAGUACCUCACUUGAUGCUUUUGGAGUCUGGGGAUUGUUGCGUGUGGUGUCCGCACUCAAAAAGAUGUCUGUGGUGAUCCUCUGAGAUUCGAAUCUAUGAUGCUCAAGAAUAAUCCUGCACCCCUUUAUCAUCAUGGAGACAGACUUGAAUUUAAGUGUCACUUAGUAUACAAGUGUAUUGUACAUUUUCUCUCUACCACUGCUGUUUGUCAGCCUGUAACACAUGGACACCUCUCCAGGAGGCUUGUACAAAUGCCUGUGAUGCUCCACUGAGAUAUGAAUCUAUGAUGCUCAAAGGUUCUCCUAAAAAUGUUUAUCAAUCUGGGGAAAGUGUAGAAUAUCAGUGUCGCCCAGGAUACAUACGUAUCGUUCCUCCUCUUUCCGUGACUUCUGUUUGUCAGGCUGAUGACACCUGGGCACCUCUCCAGGAGGCUUGUAGAAAAAAACCAUGCCCACAACUAGCAGAUCCCACAAAUGGUGGAGUGGUCUAUGUAAAUGGAAGUUACCAGUUUGGUUCACAGGCUCGCUAUGUUUGUAAUGAGGGUUAUUACUUAAUUGGAACAAAAAUUCUAUACUGUGAACUAUCGGGAACUACUGUGGCAUGGAGUGGCGAUCCCCCGCACUGUGAAAUAAUUUUGUGUCAACCACCUGGACAAAUAUCAAAUGGGAGAUACACCAAUAGCCACAAGGUUACGUUUGAAUAUAAUGAAAUAGUAUUUUAUAGUUGUGAUCCUUCAAAUGGACCAGAUGAAUAUUCCCUUGUUGGAGAAAACAGGCUUGUUUGUUCUGGGCAUAACCUAUGGAGCAGUAACCCUCCUGAAUGUAAAGUCAGCCAGCAGACUUGUGCCCUCACUGGCUCUGCCUGUUGCCACCCCAUGCCUGGGAUCUGCCAAUGGCCACCUGUGUGCCUGGUGGUCAAAUGUCAAUAUCCAGUUCUUGAGAAUGGAAGACUGGUGUCAGGAGCUGGAAGAAAGUUUUACUACAAGGUGAUGGUUCUAGUUGAAUGCCUGCCUGAUUUUUACCUCGAAGGCAGUAGCAUUAUCGUAUGUGGACCUAACAGUACUUGGGAGCCUAAGAUGCCACAAUGUAUUAAAGUGUCAACACCUGUCAUUACAAAACCUACAAUUUCCAGUGUCUCAGGUGUCAAGACUGUUGUUCCAACCACACCUCCUACUUCAAGUCAACCAGGAAAUUCCACUCAAAGUAAUGAAUCACCAACUGUCGACAAUAACGGUUCAGGUAUUAUUUUCAUUAUAAAUAACCCUGCAUUAUGAGAUCUUAGAGUUCUACAAUGAAAUAUUGCAUUUCAACUCUCUGUAGUUAUAGAAGAAACAACCUGGCACAAAUGAGUGAUGAUUGACAUUUGUACUCAUUUUAGUAGUGCAGAUACCAUGACAUGUGUAAGCAGUAGUAUGUGUAGACACAUGUGGAUAAUACAAUUUUUAAGAGAUGCUUUAAAUAAGGAUUCCUAAUAAGGUGAAGUAAUGUUCUCAAUUGCUGUGAUUAUUUGUAGGUUAAAGUUUACAAAACCUAACUUGCUCUCCAUGUGAUAGUGUUACUUUGUAAUGGCAUUUUUUUAAAUAAAAUUUCUUUCUAUUCAUAUUUUGUAUACAUAAGCCUUAGGGUACUUCAAGUUGGAUUAGUUAUUUUCUAGGUCAGGCUUCACUGUGCUGGCUCACAAAGUUCAUGCAAUAUAUGUUAAAGGAAAUGAUAAAAUAUAGUUGUGACAGUUAAGUGAAAGAUAAGGAGUUUUGAUGAGGAAAUGAAGAGAAAUAUGUAUUACUUUUCUUUACAUUAGACUAGUUUAGCAAGGUUUAUCUUUUUAUGAAAUGCACCUUCAGGCUUGUUCUGUUUUUCCUGUGAACACUGCAGCCAAACUAUCAUUGUGCCAGUGAACCCAGGGCCAUCCUAAGAUGCUACGCACUUGAUAAUUUUUAUGAAAUGACAGAAGCAGAGAUGGAGGACUCAUUGCUGUGAUUGUUCUUAUUGUAUGUGAGGAAUUAUCUGAGUCAUUGUACCUUGAGAUUAAAGGUUCAGUGCCAUCACUGAUCUGAGAUUCCACUUCUAAUGAGCUCCAACUGAUGAUGCUGCUGGACCUGGACUAUACUUUGAGUAACAAGGGUGAAGACUGUUACUGAUGUGCCAAUAUAUUUGAAAUUUGAAGAAAUAC